rnacentral:rRNA from 1 species
UUGAACGCUGGCGGCAUGCUUUACACAUGCAAGUCGAACGGCAGCGCGGGCUUCGGCCUGGCGGCGAGUGGCGAACGGGUGAGUAAUACAUCGGAACGUGCCCAGUAGUGGGGGAUAGCUCGGCGAAAGCCGGAUUAAUACCGCAUACGACCUGAGGGUGAAAGCGGGGGAUCUUCGGACCUCGCGCUAUUGGAGCGGCCGAUGGCAGAUUAGCUAGUUGGUGGGGUAAAGGCCUACCAAGGCGACGAUCUGUAGCUGGUCUGAGAGGACGACCAGCCACACUGGGACUGAGACACGGCCCAGACUCCUACGGGAGGCAGCAGUGGGGAAUUUUGGACAAUAGGCGAAAGCCUGAUCCAGCAAUGCCGCGUGUGUGAUGAAGGCCUUCGGGUUGUAAAGCACUUUUGGCGGGAACGAAAAGGACUGUGCCAAUACCACGGUUCGAUGACGGUACCCGCAGAAUAAGCACCGGCUAACUACGUG